rnacentral:rRNA from 1 species
CCUACGGGAGGCAGCAGUGGGGGAUAUUGCACAAUGGGGGAAACCCUGAUGCAGCGACGCCGCGUGUGGGAAGACGGUCCUCUGGAUUGUAAACCACUGUCCCCAGGGACGAAGAUGACGGUACCUGGGCAGGUAGCUCCGGCUAACUACGUGCCAGCAGCCGCGGUAAUUCGUAGGGAGCGAGCGUUGUCCGGAAUUCCGGGGUGUAAAGGGAUCGUUGGGGGGUCUGAAAGUUGUAGGGAAAAUCUUAAGGCUAAACCGAUAGCCGCAAUCGAAACUGCAGUUCUUGAGUAAAGUAGAGGCAGGCGGAAUUCGUAGUGUAGCGGUGAAAUGCGUAGAUAUUAGGAGGAACACCAGUGGCGAAGGCGGCCUGCUGGGCUUUUACUGACGCUGAGGCUCGAAAGUGUGGGGAGCAAACAGGAUUAGAUACCCCAGUAGUC